UCAAUCGGGCUGGCAAGCGCGCUUUGUCUUCCGCCUAUCAUAGCCACACGGGGCACAGGCCACCUCGCCCAAAUUGCGUCGCUGCCGUCCGACCAGCCGCCACUCCCACCCCUCGGCGGCGGCCGCACCGGCCACCGGCCACCACGGAGGAUGGUUCACAGGGAAAGCGCUCUGAUGGUCCGGUGGCCGGUGGCGUAGCGCCCACCCCCAUCCCACACUACCGCGCGCGCGUUCCUGCCUGAACGCACGCAAGGUGCUCGACGAAAUGCUCGGCUACAUUGUCCGCUUCCUGGACAGGCUAACGAAGCGGAAGCAUGGCGCGUGUCGCGUUUCGGGCCUAGGGCCGGAGAUAUGCGGGUACAUGCGAAGGGAGCAGAGCUGCUUUGUCUGCGUGACCAUGGCCCAGUCGGCAAUUCAGUGAACCACGAAAGGUAGCCUGCCUUGGCUGCCCUGCCCACUUGCGACUUGUGUCUUUUGUCUCGUUUCUUGGUGCAGCUGGGUCUCUCGAGGAUGCAGGAUGGUGUUUUGGACGGAUUGGCCUUGUGCCGUGCUGCUACAGUACGUGUGAUCUAUGUCCAUCGUGUUGGGUAAUGAGUAGGCUGUGUUAAUGUGGACUGUUUGUGUGUUGAUGUGGGGGGACGCAAGCUGGUGAGAUGCGAUCGCCGGCGCAAAAUUGGUCUUAUGGCAUGUGAGAUGGUCAUGGGCUCAUGGUGGCAAUAUGGCAUAGGGCAACCAGUGCUUGGAAAUCAUGUGAUACUGGCUGGUGGCAGGAGAUGCUGAAAGCAACGGCCCGGUUAUGUCACAAUUAUCUGUGGAUUUCAGCUGGGCGCUGCUGUUCUUGAGGAAAUGGAAGCGGUUGUGUUGUUGAAAGUUGAAACUGGAACAGAGCAUGAUGUGAGCUUUGCCUGGGCUUUUAGGAGAAACUGACAUUAUGGCAAAGAAACAUUGCGGGGUUUGAUGCAGGUUAGAAUGCACUUCUAGAAGAUUGCAAGGUACAUGUAAAUGUGGAAUUUUCUACGACAUGGCCAGUUGGACUGAGAAAUGCGCUACAGAUAAGCUCCUAGACUUUCAUUGUGGUGGCAAGAGAACUUUUAUGCUUGCAAGAAAGAUAUUCAAGUAUACAUUGGAUGAGUUCAGACUGGUGAUGACAGGGAGACUGAACUGAAAUGCUGAUUUUUUUUUUGACUGGUCAUCGGGCAGAAGAGCUUCCCUACCUGAAUUUUAUAGACAAUGGAGAACGGUAUAAUGUCAGUUCGUUACAUUAGAGUGUAAGGAGGAAGAAAGAGUUUCUUUUCAGGAUUCAACUACAAUCCUAUCGGCACAAUUUAGGCGUUCAGCCCAAAGGGUCGCUUCUUCAAGGCAUUUAGAGGCUAGCCUGGCUGUAGAGGGAGUUUGGUUCCGGAAGACGACAUCGUGGCGGUGGUUCCAUAGCCCCAAGAAGCACAAUAGGUAAAAAACCUGGAAAUGUUUGGCUGGAAUCUGAUUUGGUCUACGCAGAUUGUGUAAUUCUUGCAUUGAGCUGAUGUUUGGUUGGAUCCCCAGCGAGCUCCAAUGCAACAACAAAGGGACAUUGGAUGAAGAAGUGAGGAGCAGUUUCAUUUGCGCCAGCACAGAGAACACAUGUUGCUGAUUGUACCACAUUCUUCUUGAAGAGAUUCAACUUGGUUGGGAGCCGUUCUUUAGAAAGUAGCCAAGCGAAGAAUUGUACUUUCGGAGGAGCUCGGUUCUUCCAAAUGAACGUCUAGUUCGCACAAGGUUGUCUUGGCCCUUUCAGGGCUUGAUAGAUUUGCUUCAUCUUCAGUAUACUAGCACCUCCGACUGCUUUUCUGGUAUCUGCGUCUUCUCCCAAUGAUCUCUCCUGCCUGAUUGCACACAAUGCAGGGAACUGCUGCUGGGCCACCGUCGAUAGUCUAUGCACGAUGAUCUUCCAACUGGCCUAUGAACAUUUGGGCAACUUGUAGAUUGUUUGUCUUUCACAUGCUGAUUUUAGUAAAUGUGAAUAUAUAUGUAUACCUGAUAAUCCUCGAGGUCUCGCUGGCAAGUGUUUCGGAUGUCCAUGCCAAUGCAGUAGAAGGUAUGGCUCCAUGAGUCUUUCUGUGCCAGAUGCUUCACAUGUAUUUGAAAGCUAUAGAGCAUUAUUUGCACUUGAAGUCAGAUGGAUACCAUUCUUAAUGCAAUAGGAAUGUAUCAAGCAUGCUCCAUUCCUCUGCCAUGCACCUGUCACCAGAAAAUUAGUUCUGCCAGUUGAUUGAAAAGGACAAGUAGGUAGCGAUAUCACAGGAAUAAGCAUUAGAAGAGGUGAAAUGUGGAAGAACUUGUUCUAUGCUAAGCAUGGAUUGAAUUCCGGCUGUUUGUUCUGAUAUCAUCCAAGUCCAUUGUGCAUUACAAAUACACCGAAUUUGAUCAAGUCAAUUUUCCCAGUUAUAGGCAAGCAGGUCCAAAUAUGAACUUGCACAGUUUUUUUUAUUCAUAGUGGAAAUUUAUCUUCCAUCUACUUCAUGCUUAUUGGCAAGGAUCAUUCUCAAGGUUCUCAAUUAUUGGUGAUCAUUGAACAAGGUUACUGAGAGAGAAGAGAAGCACAACACAAUGCUUCUUGAAGUCAAUCCGCUUCGAUAAUCAUGCGGGGGUUGUUUAUCUAUUUACAAUCAAUUUAGAGAAGGCUGAGCGUCUCCAGCGGCUUGACGGUGGCCUCCAGCCGGCGACGCGGCGGCGUCCGCGGCAUGGCCGGCGCCGGCACCGACGGCUGCACGAACUUGCAGUUGGGGCACGCCGGCGAGGACUUGCAGAGCAUGACGAGGAGGUGGCAGUUGACGCACGGGACGGCCACCAUUGGUCCCAACGAGCCUACGCCGCCACCGCCGCCGGCGAUCCUCGCAUCGUCCUCCGCGAUGGCAGCGGCGCCGCCAGAGCUCGCCUUGCCGGCUCCGACGUGGAAGGUGGACGGGAUCGUGGAGAUGUUGAGCUCCAGGUCCAGAGUGUUGCUGCCGCCGUGCUCCUCCAUGGGCCUCACCCAGCUCUUCCUCAUGGUCUUCCUGUUCAGGUCAAGGCACUGCUCCCAGUCCAUGGGGAGGGGGUCGUUGAGGUGGAGGUCCAGGCUCGCGUGGGACACGGCCUCCUCCCAGGCGAAGUGCUUCCUCCUCUUCCUGCUGCCGUCGUCGCUGCUGCCGUCCGACUCCGACGACGACGAGCUCUUGCCGGCGCCGGCACCGACGCCGAAGCCCAGCAACGUCGGCCCCAGGGAGAGCUCCGGCUGCACCUCCAUCGACCGGCCGAUCCUGAAUAUUUUCAUAUUUGAAGUUUUGAACGAGGGGUCAAGUUUGAGGACACCUUAGAUGAGUUUUUGCACUGAAAACUGCUUCUUCUCAGUUCUGUUUGUCGGCUGUAUAACAAAACCGUUGAGAGAGUUUGAUGAUGUGGUACUCUCCUGCUUGACCAUCAUUUGCACCUCGCUUCUAUGCAGACCAAGAUUUGAAACAAAUUAUGUAAAAGAUUAUUAAUUUGGUUAUGGGAAUGGCUACUGUACACUUUAUGUAAUUUAGACACUACAUUUCUCUCACCAUUCACUAAUAACUCUGGUAGUGGGAAUAGCGGGCGAAAUUAAAGGACUCUUUAAAGUUUUUAAAUUGAUGUGCAUGUACAGCAUCAUUAGGUUAGAUCUCCUAGGAAAUUAACUGUGGCAUUUUUUUCUGAUCAGAAGUUUCUUAGCAAGUUAUGUUGCUGUCACAUCUUGUACUAUAACAGAAACUAACCCUUACAUUGAUCUGCUUUUUCUUUUUGGAAGGAGCAGUUCUUUAAUUUCGGAACCAUGGGACCUGGCUGCACCAUUGAAGAUGCUUGGAUAUGUCGUUAGAUGAUUAAUUGCCUCCAUUCUUAGCAAACAAAUUCACAGAUUCCCGGAUGUUUGCUCGCUCUUCUUCAGUAACUGGGUCUCCUUGAACUUUGACAAGACUUCUGUCCAAGAGCAUUUGAGUUAAUUUUCUGUGCUGAAGCUUGACCUAUGGUCACCAAACAGGAUAAUAAAGUGACGGUACGUACCUGAAUUUGUGGAUGAUGAUUUAGAGCAUUGUUGCCAACUUGCCAUGUGAAUUGGUACUGUGCUAUUCCCUGUUAUCUUAAACCUUAGAUUUUUCUGUUAAAUGAUUUUUCUGUUAUCUAUACAGUCUUUACAGUCGUAAACUACUCUAUACAGUUUUGAUUUGUGGAUGGAUGAUGAUAUGUCGUUAGAUGAUUUUUCUGUUAUCUAUACAGUCUUAAACUACUCUUUGAUUUAUACAAAUGCUAAAUUUAAUGCAUAUAGUAUACAUUCAGAUAUUUUAGUUCGAUUUUUCUGAAUGAAGUUUUGAAUUAGCUCAACAUGGAUAACUCCAUCUGUUCUUUUUUUUUUGUACCUGUCAAAUGAUCUUAGAGAAGGUGUGCAUACACUGCUUCCCCAAGGGAGAAGAGACUGAACUCCUCAGAGACAUAUAGUGUCAGACUUGAGUUCAUUGAAUGCAGUACGUGUUCUUUUCUUGCCCCAUACAUCUCAACAGAAGAUGUAUACGAGACUACACCACCAUGGCAGGCAGAAACGGUUGCAUUCAACACACUACACCUACUGAAGUAAGAUCCUCCUAUACACCUCCAUUACCUGUUUGCUCCGUUUGGUUCAUCUUCCUCGCCGCCGGCAUCGCUGGGCCUUUUGGUUGGUGACCUGAGCACCACGCCUGAAGAAUUUGCACGCCUGAGAGGCAUCCAACAAACUCAUGGGUUCUACCUGACCAGGCAGCCUGACGAGUUGCUUGUUUGGUUUGCUGUUGCUGCCUGAGUAGAUGAUUACUGCUAACUCAAGUAUUAGACGGGAAGAAAAAAAAUCUCGAGAAAACGGCUUGGCGUCUCGGGAAAAAUUUCACAAAAUCCAUAUGCUACCUAGCUUUCCAUUAAUAAAUCAAUCACCUAUACGAGGAAAAUAAUCUCCAAAUCGCUUCUUUCCCUCAAAAAGAAAAAUCCCCAAAUCCAAACAUCCAGCGAAUUGCACGCAUACAAACAACAAAGUCACAACAAUGAUCCGCAAAAAUCAGCAGCAUCAGGCAUCAGCGGAAGCUUCACUCUAAGCUGGAUCUGGCCAAGGGGAUCGCGCGAAGCUUCACACAAACUCAACCAAGGCGGGGACUUCGCUCGACGACGACCACGACAGGGGCUUCGCUUGCCGGCGAUGGAGGCUUCGCGCGACGGGCGCGGUGGCGAUUGAGGUAGGUGUGGGCUUCACGCAGUGGCGGCAGGGGCAACCUCGUGCGAUGGUGGCAGGAGCUCCGCGCGGUGAUGGGCUAAUGGCUGUGUACAGUUGAGAUUUUGAUGGUAAGCACGCAUUUGUUGCGCCUGGAGCCUCAGGCGACCCAAAACGGUCUCCUGACUCAGGCUAUUUGCACGCCA